CAGAGUAGAGUGGGCUUGUCAGCUCGAGUCUGGCGUAGGGGAGGGAGAGUCAUCAUCGGCCUUUGGCAACAGAGCCACAGAUGUGGUAUAUGAAAUCCUAUAUCAACGAAGUGACGUCAAUGUAUUUGCCGCAUUAUUUUGAUUCGAUGUAACUUAGGCGAGGUGACAAAACUAGGCCUUUAGCGUAAAAUGUCUGGCAAUAAAAUCGAAAUAAUUUCAACAGUGGUGUUUAAUGCAAAGCGAGCUGUCUACUUCAUGGUUCUCCUCAACAACGUACUGGCCGGGUUACCAAAUUACCAGUUCAUAGUCUGACUGUCACAGUCAGACACUGUGGGUAGUACUGACUACUGGAUACUGUGCUGCUCAGUAGUGUCCCGCGAACCACCAGCGAGAUGAGAGCCAUUUGGACGCUCGUCGUUGCGUGCAUCCUCGUCACGCUGACGACGCCAACUACGAAAGCAACAACGGCCAGUGACGUCGGAGGUAUCAUGGCGAGAAUUACGGACACCGUCAAGACCAAAAUGGAAAACUGCAACAACCGGGAGGUCAGCUUAGACGUUAUCGCCCUCCAGAAAGAUACAAUAAACAAGGCCAUCCUUUAUCAGGAUGGCAUCAUUACCGACCUGAAUAGUGUGGCAAGAGAAGUUGUCAAGAGGAUUGACGCUUACUUGGCACAAGGCGACUAGAUAUGGAAGAAGUUCUCAGCGGAGCAAGACUUCGACUCGGAAACUACGGAACUAGAAAAUCCACUCGAGAACAAUGUGCACAAGUUGCAACUAGUAUUGAUUAAGGUUCUACAGAAAUUCCUUGUUGAAUAAAGGCAUACUUGUUCAUAC